CAGUAGCCGCGGUAAUACGUAGGGUGCGAGCGUUAAUCGGAAUUAUUGGGCGUAAAGCGAGUGUAGACGGUUAUUUAAGCCAGAUGUGAAUACCCGAGCCUAACUUGGGAGGUGCAUAUGGAACUGGGUAGCUAGAGUGUGUCAGAGGGAGGUAGAACUCCACGUGUAGCAGUGAAAUGCGUAGAUAUGUGGAAGAAUACCGAUGGCGAAGGCAGCCUCCUGGGAUAACACUGACGUUGAGGCUCGAAAGCGUGGGGGGCAAACAGGAUUAGAUACCCGCGUAGUCCCUGUCUCUUAUACA
rnacentral:rRNA from 1 species